rnacentral:lncRNA from 1 species
UAUCUUGAAGAAAGAAGCAGGUGGUGCACAUGUCUCCCUUGUCUUUAUAUCUGUCAGCAUCUAGCACAGUAUUCCAAAUAAAGCUGUUGAAUUGGAUAGCAGCUUCUCCAAUAAAUAAAAUUUUUAUUAAGCAUUAAGCAUUGCCUGAAAAUGGGGACUGGCAGUCACACAGAACAGUGGAGAACAACUCAGAUAGAGACAGGGGCUCCCAAUUCUUGCAUGAGGAUUCCUGUGGGCUACAUAUUGACUUAGAAAAUCACAUAUUAUGCCUUGAAUUUUCUCCUUGAUCAUCAUAAGAUACCAAUGUAGGAUUAUGGUGAUCAUAGAACGUGGUAACAUACCUAAUUCAUAUGAUGAAAAUGCUCAAAGCAUCUUGAUGCUAGAGGUUUUUGUUUUUCCAUUUGUAAAAUGCUGUAUUUUAUGGCACACGUUGCACCAAACUACCUUGGAUUGUCAUUGCUCCUUUCAAAUGCUAUCAUUAAUGUAAUACCGCUUUCAAAAGAUAAUGCAAUGAUGCAUUUUUUAUUUAUUUAAUAGCCUUUUAUUUACAGGUUAUAUGUAUGGGUAACUUUACAGCAUUAACAAUUGCCAAACCUCUUGUUCCAAUUUUUCCCCUCUUUCCCCCCACCCCCUCCCCCAGAUAGCAGGAUGACCAGUAGAUGUUAAAUAUAUUAAAAUAUAAAUUAGAUACACAAUAAGUAUACAUGACCAAAACGUUAUUUUGCUGUACAAAAAGAAUCAGAAAAUGAAAUAGUGUACAAUUAGCUUGUGAAGAAAAUCAAAAAUGCAGGUGGGCAAAAAUAUCGGGAUUGGGAAUUCAAUGUACUGGUUUUUAGUCAUCUCCCAGAGUUCUUUCUCUGGGCGUAGCUGGUUCAGUUCGCAAUGAUGCAUUUCAAUGGCAUAAUUCUUUGUCAGAAACUCUCCAAUCAGUAGCAGUUAGCCAAAACAGAGAAAAUAUACAAUUGAAUAUGAAAAAAAGAAAACCACAUAUUAACAUUAUCUAUGUUCUAUUGCAUUUCUAUUUAUUUUAUUGGACAUUUUUUUCAAAAACAUUUUCACUUGGUUCUGUCACACUCUGGGAGUGUUGUGGCCUGCAGCUGCCUGACACCUCAGAUAAAGUGUUGGAGUUUUAUAUAAAUAUCCCCAAAAUACUAAAAAUAAAAUGAGCUAGAAAUCUGGGCUGUGUAGUGAAUACUCCGUACUUAGCAUGACAAUUUGCCCAUAGUAAGUAUAAUGAAUAUAUUUCCAUCCAUCCAUCCAUCCAUCACAUUCUAGGAUGUUUAAACAAUUGCAAUACAGAACAGUGAUGGAAUAAACUCCACCCACAGGUAAAAGGCCAGUUCUGGUCCGGUUCACACUAAUUGGAUAGAAUUUAGAGAAACACGGGAAGAUGUAAAUGGAAGAAGCAGAAGCAGAAAUGCAAUGUAUAUGAUGACAACAGAGAUAUAAGUAAUGAUCAACUAAAAUUUAACACUGUGAUUAUAGUGGCCAAGUCGGACAUUUUAGGUAUUUUAAGCCAACUGGUUUCAAGAGUAAAGGACUGGAAUGUUGCCUCUAUUGCAAAUCCAGGCAAACUGUACGGGGCAGCUUCCUUUUCCUCCUUCACUUUUGUUCCAAGGCAAGACGGGUGGGGAAGGAGAAGUUUACAAGAUGUCAGGUAGGAGGAAGGUGUAUAUCUGGAAAGGAAUGGGAUGUAAAAAUUUAAAAAAUCAUAAUUCAUCUGGGAGGGAGAAGGAGGGCAUGGAAUUGAAUGAACCCUAAGGCCCGGUUCUAAAAUCCGUCACUUGAUAGAGACGGGGGCAGCCUCCUCAAGAAUCGGGAAGAAAGCGGAGGAUUCUGGGAAUCGGGCCAGACACUGAUGCGGGUCAGGGUCAGGGUCAGGAAGUGGUUGUCAGCGAGGGCCUAGCUUUGCCUUCUCUCCCCCACCAGGGAGGAGGCCUCUGGGAUCCGCCCGUUGGGCGAAGCCGAAGCCUUUCUGGGCGCUCGUCCCCAAAGCUCGCUCCGCGAUCAGGGACACUGGGCACGCCCGCGAUGGCUGAAGGCCUGUGGCGGUUCUUCCGCGCCGGAGGGCAAAGGCGUCGCCCACUUUCAGAAAAGGGAAGCGCGCGGGGCCCCGAGGCGGCGAAGGGGCGGCAGCCGGAGCUCGGAGGCUCCCCGGAGGCUCUCGUGGGGGAGAAGCGGCCGGGACGCGAGCGCCCAGUCCCGGCGGGGAAAGCCCGGGGCCCGCGCUUGGCUGCUUUCCCAUCGCUGGGAGAAAGGCAGCUUCCCCAGCUCUCGCCUGCGGGGGCGGGGGGAGGGGCAGCGGGGAAGCUGCCUCCGGGGGAAGGAUGAAACCCCCGCCAGGCCAGAGCCAGCCCCGGCCGAGACCGCGCGCGGAGCGAUGCGGGGCAGCGCGUUAAGGCACAGCGGGGAGGGGCGGGGCCAGCCGAGGCUCCCCGGGAGCGGGGUCGCUGGAGGGCGGGCCCGGGCCUCCUGCCACGGGAGAAGCCGCGGCCCGAACGGGAUCUGGAAGGAUGCUCCGAGGGGCCCCGCCUGCCCCCAUCGGCGGCCCCUCGGGCCGGGGAUCCCGCCGCCAGGCCGGGCGGAGGGGCUUCCACAACUCUGCGCAUCCAAGAUCGGGAGGUGAAAAAUGGUCAGAAGUGAGCGUAGGCGUUUGUCAUCGGGGCCCCGGCUGUCAAUGUGACCCUCCGGUGCCAGGCUCACGUCAAACCCUGCCCGUUUCUCCGUCCUCACGGACUCUCGGGGCCACGGGGAAGGCACCACCUUGUUUAUUUUAGACACAACGUUACUUCCGGCCGCCCCCAGUCGUGCAGAGGAAAUUUAAAGGCAGGUGGGAGUACCCGCGGCCCCGCCCGGCCCCGCCCCGGGAUGCCGUCUCCCCGGGGUCCCGGCCCAAUGAGGCCGCGGGCCGGCGGCCGCCUGCCCCCUUUCCCACCCACCGAAGGCCAAGGCCGAGGAUCCGGGUGAGGCGGCGGGUAACAGACAGAGCCAGUGCAAAGGUUUAAAACAAUUUAUUGAGCCAAAAAAAAAAAAAAAAUAGAAAAAGGCCAACGAGGGCAUGAAAGCGCCUUGGGCCCAGGUCCGCGGCCCCGAGCGAUUGUACAUUGCGCACAGAAGGCAUCCAUUUCCCGCCGGGCCCCGAGUCGCGGGCGGGGAGCCCUGGUCCCCUUCACCCCAGCCCCCAGCAGGGGGGAGCGGCGCGGGCCCGCCUGGGCCCGGCCCAGGAGGAAGGUGGGGCGGCUCCCCUCCCCCCGCGCACGCGAGCUCCAGCAAUUGGAGCCCAAGGACCCGUCGCCAAGGCGACCGUCCUGUUGCCAAUAGCGAGAGCCAAUAAGGGCGUCGCCGGGGCUGUUUCAAAAUUCUAAAGCAAACAACAAAAAAAAAAAAUCGCUACAGCAGUCGGGGGCGGGGAUCCGCGAAGGCAAAGCAGUGGGAGGGUUAACACUCAGGCAUCCCGACGCAUCCCUGCGUCCCCUCCCCCCCGACCCCCGGGGUUCCGACCGGGAACGCUGUCCAGGGGCUGGAGGUAGGGCUGCCCUGUAAACAAACAGUACAAAACCUACACAAAGGGUUUAAAAAAAAAAAAAAAACCGUCCCCUCCCCCGCCCCCGAGCCAAACGUUACAAAAAUAACCAUUUGGUUGUCGGGGCCGCAAGUCGGCGCCUCUCCGCCCGAUCUCGGGCCGCGGGCGACUCGCUCAGUCCGUGGCGGAGGGAGGUGGGCGCUCGGCGGGGGUAGACGAGGAGGCGGCCGAGAGGGGGGCGGGGGAGUGGCCUCCCCCGACCGGGCGGCCCCAGCGCUCCGGAGCGUGCGGCCCACCCCCUAGCUCCCCCGGCCGCGGGGCGCUCACUUUCUGCCCUUGGGCACCUUGGGCACGCUGGGCUUGGCCGACUUCUUCACUUUCUUGCCCCCGGCCGCGGAGGCCUUCUUGGCCGCUUUCUUGGGCUUGCCUUUGUCCUUCUUGCCGCCGCUCGCGCCCUUCUUGUGGGAGCGCUUCUCGGGCUUCUUGGCCUUGGCCGGCUUCUUGUCGCCGCGCCGCGCCGGGGCCGCCGCCGCGGCCGCCGCCUUCUUGGCCUUUUGCUGAGAGGCGGCCGCGCCCGCGCCCUUCUUGUCGCCGCCGCCGCCCUCCAGCUUCUUCUUGUUGAGCUUGAAGGAGCCGUUGGCACCGGUGCCCUUCACCUGCAGCAGCGUGUCGUUCUGCACCAGGGCCUUGAUGGAGUACUUGAGGUAGGUGCGCCCGUUCUGCUGGUCGAACCAGGGCACCUUCUUGGCCUCGUUGUAGAUCUUGGCCAGCGACGAGCCAUUGCGUUCGCCCAGCUUGCGGAUCGUCUCCACCACCAGCUGGCUGUACUUGCCCGGCUGGUUCUUCUUCUUGUUGUUCUUCUUCUUCUUGGAGGGCGACAGCGACGACGAGCCCGCCUUGGCCUUCUUGCUGGCCGGCUUUUUCUCGGGGGUGCCGGGAGCCUCCUCGGCCGGGGUCAGCGGCAGCGCCUCUUCCAGCUCCACGGACAUGGUGGCGAGCGGGUUGGCGGCCGGCGGCGCGCGGAAGCCGGGGCCGCUGCUCUUCCUGCCGCGGGGCACCAGGGUGGGGGCUGGGUUCGGGCCUGCGGCGCCGCUCCGCUUCGGUGUCGGAGCGCCGGGAUCUGGCGGGGCGGGCUCUUGCGCGCGGCUUAUAUGGCUCGGCGGCGGACCACGUUG